AAGAAAAUUGGAGCUCCAUAUUAGCCAAGCUGCUUUGCACAAAAUAAAAAAGACUGGGGCCCUGGAUUGCAACACACGACAGUGAAGAAGACUCAGUAUCAGGGACACUUACUUUCCUUGAAAUAACAGUAACUACGCCUGAAGCUCCAGGAUUAUGUCUGCUGUCUACCCCGUGGGAUGCAGACAGAGACCACGAAGUUACAGAGCCCUCUCCAUCUUCACUCCCCCGUUCAGGGCUCCUGGCUGAGCCCCGACUGUGUGUGAAGUCAGGCCCUCUGAAGAGGAGCAUUCGCAUCCACAUCUGACCCCCUAGUGAGAGUCUUCAUUCACUCCUAACUUGACGCAGCCGGGAUAAAACUGACCUUAUCAUGUUUGACCUGAUUGUGUCACAAAAGCAUUAGAAGCUUUCAUGCUUUCCUGGGAAAUUCCCCGUGGGCCACCACUCUGGGCAGGGCCAUGAAGGAGCCUGGAUGCUUCCUUCUCAGUUGGGAAAGCUCUGCUGGAAAUGCUUCCAUUUCCAAAGUGACGGUUGACAGUUUCGUGUGGAAACCACCGACCCGCGCCGCAGCUCACGCGCGCCAGAAGGAGACCGGGCGCUUCUCCGCCAGGCCUCAUGCGCGGACCUAUUGCUGCUAUUUUCUUUUUCUUAAAAAAAAAAAAAAAAAAAAAAGGAAUCCUGCUGUUCAGUGGCCAGAA
rnacentral:sRNA from 1 species